rnacentral:rRNA from 1 species
UUGAGGAGCUAUAUCACCCUGCAGCUCAUAACUGGCAACCCACUGAAGCUAAGCAGGUGUGAACCUGGCCAGUACCUGGAUGGAAGACCUCCUGGGAAUGCUAAGGUUUCUCCUUGAA